UACAGAGGUCCCAAGCGUUGUUCGGAUUCACUGGGCGUAAAGGGCGCGUAGGCGGAUAGUUUAGUCAGAGGUGAAAGCCCAGGGCUCAACCUUGGAAUUGCAUUCGAGACUGCUCUGCUAGGGUGCGGAAGAGGGAAGCGGAAUUUCCGGUGUAGCGGUGAAAUGCGUAGAUAUCGGAAGGAACACCAGUGGCGAAAGCGGCUUCCUGGUCCAGCACCGACGUUCAGGCACGAAAGCGUGGGGAGCAAACAGG
rnacentral:rRNA from 1 species